UACGGAGGGUGCAAGCGUUAUCCGGAUUCACUGGGUUUAAAGGGUGCGUAGGCGGGCAGGUAAGUCAGUGGUGAAAUCUCUGAGCUUAACUCAGAAACUGCCGUUGAUACUAUCUGUCUUGAAUACUGUGGUGGUAAGCGGAAUAUGUCAUGUAGCGGUGAAAUGCUUAGAUAUGACAUGGAACACCUACUGCGAAGGCAGCUUGCUACACAGUAAUUGACGCUGAGGCACGAAAGCGUGGGGAUCUAACAGG
rnacentral:rRNA from 1 species